GGUUCCAUAGUAUAGCGGUUAACACGUCUGUUUUACACGCAGAAGGUCCUGGGUUCGCGCCCCAGUGGAGCCA
rnacentral:tRNA from 1 species